UAACUCCGUGCCAGCAGCCGCGGUAAUACGGAGGGUGCGAGCGUUAAUCGGAAUUACUGGGCGUAAAGCGCGCGUAGGUGGCUUGAUAAGCCGGUUGUGAAAGCCCCGGGCUCAACCUGGGAACGGCAUCCGGAACUGUCAGGCUAGAGUGCAGGAGAGGAAGGUAGAAUUCCCGGUGUAGCGGUGAAAUGCGUAGAGAUCGGGAGGAAUACCAGUGGCGAAGGCGGCCUUCUGGACUGACACUGACACUGAGGUGCGAAAGCGUGGGUAGCAAACAGGAUUAGAUACCCUGGUAGUCCACGCCGUAAACGAUGUCGACUAGCCGUUGGGUCCUUCGCGGACUUUGUGGCGCAGUUAACGCGAUAAGUCGACCGCCUGGGGAGUACGGCCGCAAGGUUAAAACUCAAAUGAAUUGACGGGGGCCCGCACAAGCGGUGGAGCAUGUGGUUUAAUUCGAUGCAACGCGAAGAACCUUACCUACC
rnacentral:rRNA from 1 species